rnacentral:lncRNA from 1 species
AAUUUUCAUUCAAAAUUCGAAAAUUAUUUUCAGAAAACCUCCUUUAGUUGGCGCAUGCACUGGAAUAGGAACAACCCAAAUCAGAUCUCAACCAAAUCUGAUUUAAAUUCAAAUUUUAAACACAUGUGCAAGAGGGGAGGAAUUUGAAAUCCAUGCGGCAGAAUUUUUCUUCCUCUUGUCGCAUAUAUUUCAUUUGAAAUUCGAAUUUAAAUGAUUCAGAGGUUCACACGCCAGCUUGGGAAGUUAUUUGAUGUAUGAAAUCAUUUAAUAUAUUGCUUAAUGUUUGAAUUCAAAUUCAAACAACAAACAAUGUCGCCAUGUGUCAAGCAAUGGGUCCAUGCGCCAUGCAAUAAUUUUGGUCUAUU